CCCAUCAAUCUGCAAACAGCUAUCUGGAUUACAUGGUGGAACUAAGUGAAACAGUGGGGAAAUCAACUAGGCAACAGUUAUCCACAGAUGAUGUCACACGAUGGUCAGAGUCCUUUGACGCACUUCUCUCCCACGAGCAAUGCCAUUCAAAGAGAAAACGAGAGGGCUGGUAUGCAGGGAGAUCAUGGAGAGGGCUUCAGAUUUGGAGAUUAGGGACAAAAUGUUGAAAACCAUCUACACGUAGUGUUCCUUUGGGAGACCUUAGGCCUUUUAAAUGGUGUUUUAUUAUGUAUUAAAGAAAUUAAUUUUACUCACCAAUGUGUUUGUUAGUUCAGUGUUUAAUACUAAAUGUGAUCAGCUAAUUUGCUUGCAUUAGCCUCAUCUUCUGGAUGCUCCAAGUGAUUAAUGGAAAAGAAACAGCCACCUGGUCACAGGCAUUUACAAUAAGCACACACCAGGUUGGUCUUUGGAGUGGGCUAUUUUGUUUGGCAAAGUUUACCUGGGUGUUAAGAAACAAACAAAAGAAGCUUUCCUUGUCUAUUUGAGCAUUACCACGACUCACGUCAUGGUAAGUUACAAAGUUGCUUAUGCAUCAAUAUUUACACACAGUUUUUUUAAAAGAAUAAAACGCCAUGCUUCAUAAUCUGAGGUUGUGCCUGGUCUCAAUUGGAAAUCAGUUUCCUUGAUUAACAUUAUGCACAUUGUAGGGCGUUUUCAUUUACUGUUACAAUUAUUUCGCAUCUCUGAUACAAUUCUACUGACUAGGUGAUAAUUGUAUCCAACUUGAUUAAGUUAUAAAUGUAUUUGAAAUGGCAAAUGACUAGACUACUGAUAUGUCAAAACUGUUUAAAGUAAAAUUGCAUAGUGCUAGGGUAAAUAUUUUCCGAAUACAUUAGCAAAAUCCGAAAACGGUUACAUUUAUGGUGACUGUCCCAUACUCUAACACGCUGAUGAUGUCUCUUCUUAUGAAUGGCCAUGCUGGUCUUGUGCGAGAAAAAAGUUAACACCGCAGACAGAAAACAGACGCAAUUACCUUUGCCACAAUGGCCACCAGUCAUGAUAAAUCAUCUGUAGCAGGUCAUAUGCAUAAAUUUCUAUUUUCUCCUCAUAUAGUUUUGCGCUCUAACAUCAGAAUGCUUUAAAAUACAUAUGCAUUAACCCAAACAUGCACAUUUUAGGGAUGCUGUCUUUUUUUAUUUCUUUAACCAGUGCAAACCUUUAAUAAGGCAUUUUAGUAAAUAUACGGAAGUAUGGAAAAAAAUGCUGUUUGUCUUGUUAGUGUUUAUAAAAGCUCCAAAAAUCUUUUGUAAAUAUGGCCAAUUUGGUGGUUGCAAAUGGAGAAUGACAAGGAACAUCGGAAUUCCAAUAUUUUUAAUGUGGGCAAGGUGUUACAUAACUGCCACUAGGUUAUAGAGUAUAGUCACCUUUUCAUUUUAUAAUACAUUUUCAAAUUUUCAUUUUCAAAUAAAUAUGUAGUUAUAUCAUAUGCUGACAAUGUACAAGUGUCAUCCUUGAAAAGAAAAAAUAACAGUACUGUUUGUUCUAGGGGAAUUAAGUGUGGACACAUUGACCGCAUGCUCACCUCUUUAUUGCCUUUUGAUUUAAUUUCAGAGGAGAACACCAUUAUUGCAUUUGCUUUUCUAUUUCACUGAGCCUUACUGUUUGUACAUGAUGUUUCAAUUGUACUUUUACAAUCUGUUCUGAAUUGUGAUAUACCUUGCCAUUUCUCUUUGCAGAUAAUUGAUCAUUAAUCAUUUUUUAUUGUAGCUGUCUUCAGUAGUGUUGUGCAUUUAUUUAUGAAAAUGAAAAUGUUACACUUGCCUGUACAAUUCAGAUCCCAUGGCUGUAAUAAGAAAUCCACCAAUCCACCAUAUUCUCAAAAAUCUCAUUUUCUUUCAGACCUGAAAAAGUGCCCUUGUUCAUUUUUGUAUACAUUUUAUAUUUUAACCCUUUGACGAGUAGGUUUUUUGGAAAGUCAGUGUUCUAGAACUCCAUUGCUUUCAAUUAUCAGUCAUGAUUGUUAUAUCAGCAUUAGAAAGUUAAGGUAAGAACAUUCUAAUGUUGGUGUAAGUUAAGAACAUUCUAAUCACAUACUGUACAGUAUUUGUAAUCUUACAGGGUUUAAAGGGUUGAUUAUUAAUUUACUCAAUCUGUGAUGCACCACACGUUAUAAAAAUGAUUUUACAAUAAAGACAAUAGAGGGGCACAUACACAUACUUCAUACUAAACUGUGACUUGGCUGACACAGUUAUACAGACAACCAAAGGUACCAUAAAACAAACCCUUCUUAAAGUCAUGUGACACAGGGGAUCUCUCAAGCUGGGAAUGUUGUUUUUAGAGUCAGAAACAGUUUGUUCCAGGAACUUUCCCCAACCAUAACAUUAAUUAACUGUCAUGUGACAUGAUAAAAUAUGACUGAAUAAAACAAAUCUCCAAUGUUGUUUUUAACAGACAAAUGACAUUUGAAAAGAAAACUUCCUACAAAAAGCUAGUGAUGCAAACCUGACCAGAUAUUAUCGAAUAUGCAUAUUUAUAUGAUUUAUGAUAGUAUGAUAGUAUGCAAGUAUGCUCACUUAAGAGUAGGGGGUUAAAGUUAAUUGUUGUUGAUUGUUGUUUUAA